AGAGAAGUUCAACCGUUCAAAUGUUCCACACUGGAGUUCCUCUCAUGUCUUUAUUGGUGAUACUGUACAACAACUACACGUUAACCCAAGGACAAAAAAAGACAACUCAUAGAUACUUCAAUAAUACAUUAAACAAUAAGAAAUGCAAUAUUGUGGGUGACUGGUGUGUCGUAUUGGCAAUAAGGUAAAUACAUGAAGCUGUUUGGACAGGAUUUAGAUGCAUAUGUCCACAUAGAAGUAACUGUACUAGAAUCACGGCAGAGUAACCUGUCAAUCACAGUAAACACAUCCUGGUGUUGUUGACGCUAAUAGAGCAUCAUAUGAUCAACCAGAGAUUGAGUCCACCAUGUUUACGUCAUGGACUUAGAGGAAGGCGGGGAGACGUGUCCAUGAGAGGCAGGAGGGCCGCAUGGCGUCAGAAGGCACACCUGCUCUACCGUAUGGGGUCUAGUGUAUGGGGUCUACCCUAUGGGGUCUACUCUAUGGGGUCUACUGUAUGGGGUCUACUGUAUGGGGUCUUCUGUAUGGGGUCUACUGUAUGGGGUCUACUGUAUGGGGUCUACUGUAUGAGGUCUACUGUAUGGGGUCUACUGUAUGGGGUCUACUGUAUGAGGUCUACUGUAUGAGGUCUACUGUAUGGGGUCUACUGUAUGGGGUCUACUGUAUGAGGUCUACUGUAUGGGACCUUUGAGGAGAGAGACAGAGGCAGCACCUGCUGUGGAGCAGCAGUGAGUCUCUCCUGAGAACAUGAGAUGAAUGAUAAUAAUCUGCAUUAACUUUCUUGCUAAAUACAGAUGACAAACACGUAGAGCUUCUUGUACGACAGAUAGACUUCAGAACAUGUUUAUGAAACAGGCUAUUCAGCAAGGCAAAGCUAGCCAUGGUUCAUUGGACAACUACAAGACUUUGCCCAAAUUACAUGGCACAAGCCAGGCCGGUUGCCAGGCGGGCAGCUGGCAUCAGCUGCGUCAUUGUCUUUGAUCGCGGCGAGAGGAGAAGGCUCAUUCUUCUACGUCCUCUCAGCCUUCAGCUCACACGUCCGCGUCGACACCGCCAAGGAAAGAAAGUGGGGCACAAACAAGGGGGACAGUUUGGCUGGAAACGGCCGCGCCACGUCCAUCGGCUCAUGAGACGAGGGACUUCCUGAGGGGACGAUUCCGGCCACACUAUGACGUCAUGUGCACACCACCUUUUAUAAUUCCACCAUGUUUCAUGCUAACGCUAGACCCGAUCCAGGGGGGCCACGUGUCACUCAAAUGAGACAAUAACAUCACACCCGGACGUAUUAAAGUGUCAAUAUGUCACACAGACACACCUCUCGUGCUCAGUGUGACGCAUUCAUGAGGAGGUUCUUUCCAGGGAACUGAUAACAUCAAAUAAUAACAGUCCAGGAGACACAAGCCGACGGUUCAACCCGCGUGACUCAUUUUCGCUUUCAGCUUGUGCGUUUUAACUCCGGCUCGCUUUUGUCUGCGCAACGACAAGCAUAACAGGCCGCACCAAAAACCCAUUCGCCAAAAUGAAACGAGAAAAACGGGCUGAAGCAUGCGCCAGCGAUACGGAAAACAGAGACAUGUAAAGACGUGCGGGGCUGCGUUAGCUAACCAGCUGCAGCU
ensembl:lncRNA